GCUAGAGGUGGAUUAGUGGCGCACGGGUGAGUAACGCAUAGGUAAUAUGCCCCAUAGUCUAGGAUAGCCACUGGAAACGGUGAUUAAUACUGGAUACUCCCUACGGGGAAAGGUUUUUCGCUAUGGGAUUAGCCUAUGUCCUAUCAGCUUGUUGGUGAGGUAAUGGCUCACCAAGGCUAUGACGGGUAUCCGGCCUGAGAGGGUGAACGGACACACUGGAACUGAGACACGGUCCAGACUCCUACGGGAGGCAGCAGUAGGGAAUAUUGCUCAAUGGGGGAAACCCUGAAGCAGCAACGCCGCGUGGAGGAUGAAGGUUUUAGGAUUGUAAACUCCUUUUGUUAGAGAAGAUUAUGACGGUAUCUAACGAAUAAGCACCGGCUAACUCCGUGCCAGCAGCCGCGGUAAUACGGAGGGUGCAAGCGUUACUCGGAAUCACUGGGCGUAAAGAGUGCGCAGGCGGGAUAGCAAGUCAGAUGUGAAAUGCUAUGGCUUAACCAUAGAACUGCAUUUGAAACUGCUAUUCUAGAGUGUGGGAGAGGUAGGUGGAAUUCUUGGUGUAGGGGUAAAAUCCGUAGAGAUCAAGAGGAAUACUCAUUGCGAAGGCGACCUACUGGAACAUUACUGACGCUCAUGCACGAAAGCGUGGGGAGCAAACAGGAUUAGAUACCCUGGUAGUCCACGCCCUAAACGAUGAAUGCUAGUUGUUGCCCUGCUCGUCAGGGCAGUAAUGCAGCUAACGCAUUAAGCAUUCCGCCUGGGGAGUACGGUCGCAAGAUUAAAACUUAAAGGAAUAGACGGGGACCCGCACAAGCGGUGGAGCAUGUGGUUUAAUUCGAUNUACGCGAAGAACCUUACCUAGGCUUGACAUUGAUAGAAUCUGCUAGAGAUAGCGGAGUGCUGGUUUGCCAGAGCUUGAAAACAGGUGCUGCACGGCUGUCGUCAGCUCGUGUCGUGAGAUGUUGGGUUAAGUCCCGCAACGAGCGCAACCCUCGUCCUUAGUUGUUAGCAGUUCGGCUGAGCACUCUAAGGAGACUGCCUUCGCAAGGAGGAGGAAGGUG
rnacentral:rRNA from 1 species